ensembl:snoRNA SNORA73 Small nucleolar RNA SNORA73 family
CCAAUGUAUAUACCUUGGGAGGUCACUCUCCUAGGCUCUGUCCAGGUGGCCUAGGGGAGCACAGGGCUCUGCCCUGUAAUACUCAGUCCCCUUCCACAACAUUGGAGAAGCUGGGCCUCGUGCCUGUGCCUGCAUAUUCCUACAAUUUGUCAGAGUCCUUUAGGCAAUGACUGAGGAGAUAAAACAUGCAGGAAACAGGC